rnacentral:tRNA from 1 species
AGGGAUGUAGCUCAGCAGUGCAGUGCUUGCCUGGUGAGCAUGAGGCCCUGAAUCUGAUUCCCAGCAUCCCCC